ACCCAUGUAUCGAGUGAGUCGUUGCCCAAGUGCAUUGGGGAUUUUGGCCUGUAGUUGAAACAUUUCUCCAACCUUUGGAACCUGUAGGUCGAAAGCCAAACUGCCACUUUGGUAGGAGACGGCACACGUAAGUGUCCGCGUUAUUGGGCUGACGAUGAAAUUCAGUACGAUCAAAUUCUUGUGAAAUACGUGCACAGUGAAAAUUGCCCAUAUUACACUCGAAGAGAAUUCUACGUUACAAACUGCAAAAUCGACGAUACUCUUAAGGUUACACAGUUUCAAUAUAAUGGAUGGCCAACCGUCGAUGGAGAAGUUCCAGAAGUAUGUCGAGGGAUAAUAGAAUUAGUAGACCAAGCAUAUACCCAUUACAAAAACCACAAAAAUAUUGGUUGUCGCUCACCACUGACAGUUCAUUGCAGUUUGGGCACCGAUCGAAGCUCAAUUUUUGUUGCAAUGUGCAUCUUGGUUCAACAUCUUCGACAAGAAAGAAGUGUGGAUAUAUGUUCAAUUGCAAGAAAACUGCGAUCUCAGCGACCAGGAAUUCUAAAUUCAU